rnacentral:tRNA from 1 species
UUAACUGAAGCUAAAUUAGAAGCAAUUCACUGUUAAUGAAAAAAUUGAAAUAAAAAUCCAGUUAAA